rnacentral:rRNA from 1 species
AGGGCGUUUGGUGAAUGCCUUGGCAGUAAGAGGCGAUGAAGGACGUGAUACUCUGCGAUAAGUUAUGGGGAGCUGAGAAUAAGCUUUGAUCCAUAAAUUUCCGAAUGGGGCAACCCACCUGAUAUUUUGUUAUUGUUGCACUUCGGUGCAUUCAAUAAUGAGGUAAACCAGGUAUUUAUAACUUGAAUACAUAGGGUUAUAAAAGCAAACCCGGGGAACUGAAACAUCUAAGUACCCGGAGGAAAGGACAUCAAUUAGAUACUCCCCUAGUAGCGGCGAGCGAACGGGGAUCAGCCGAGCCAUGAAUGUGACUAGAAUGUGUUGGAAAGCACAACCGUAGUGGGUGACAGUCCCGUAUAGGAAGCAUGAUUGGACGUAUUAAGUAGGGCGGGACACGUGAAAUCCUGUUCGAAGAUCGGAGGACCACCUCCGAAGGCUAAGUACUCCUUACUGACCGAUAGUGAACCAGUACCGUGAGGGAAAGGUGAAAAGCACCCCGACGAGGGGAGUGAAACAGUUUCUGAAACCGGACGCCUACAAUCAGUCGGAGGCCCCUUGAGGGCUGACGGCGUACCUUUUGUAUAAUGGGUCAUCGACUUAGUGUAUCUAGCAAGCUUAAGCCGUUAGGUGUAGGCGCAGCGAAAGCGAGUCUUAAUAGGGCGAUUGAGUUAGAUGCAUUAGACCCGAAACCGAGUGAUCUAGGCAUGAGCAGGUUGAAGGUAAGGUAACACUUACUGGAGGACCGAACCCACAUCUGUUGAAAAAGAUCGGGAUGACUUGUGCCUAGGGGUGAAAGGCCAAUCAAACUCGGAGAUAGCUGGUUCUCCGCGAAAUCUAUUUAGGUAGAGCGUCAUCCGAAUACCCCGGGGGGUAGAGCACUGGAUGGGUAAUGGGGCCUCACCGGCUUACUGAUCCUAACCAAACUCCGAAUACCCGGGAGUAAUAGAUGGCAGACACACUGCGGGUGCUAACGCCCGUAGUGAAAAGGGAAACAACCCUGACCGACAGUUAAGGCCCCUAAUUCAUGGCUAAGUGGAAAAGCAGGUGAGACGACCAUAACAACCAGGAAGUUGGCUUAGAAGCAGCCAUCCUUUAAAGAUAGCGUAACAGCUCACCGGUCUAAUAGAGUUUCUGCGCCGAAGAUGUAACGGGGCUAAAAUCAUGUACCGAAUCUGUGGCUUUACAAAGUUUUCGAACUUUGUAAGGGGUAGCGGAACGUUCUGUAAGCCUGCGAAGGGAUACCCGUGAGGGAUCCUGGAGGUAUCAGAAGUGCGAAUGCUGACAUGAGUAACGAUAAAGGGGGUGAAAAACCCCCUCGCCGGAAGAUCAAGGUUUCCUGUCCAACGCUAAUCGGGACAGGGUGAGUCGGCCCCUAAGGCGAGGCAGAAAUGCGUAGUCGAUGGGAAGCGGGUUAACAUUCCCGCACUUCUUAUUAUUGCGAUGGAGGGACGGAGUAGGCUAGACCAUCAGGUCGUUGGUUGUCCCUGUUUAAGGUUGUAGGUCAGUAUCUUAGGUAAAUCCGGGAUACUCUCUUUAGUGAGGAGACUGAGAACUGAUGACGAGUUCUGGCGAAAGUCAGAAUGAAGUGGUUGAUGCCAUGCUUCCAAGAAAAGCUUCUAAGCUUCAGAUAAUAAGGAACCGUACUGUAAACCGACACAGGUGAUCAGGUAGAGAAUACCAAGGCGCUUGAGAGAACUCGGGUGAAGGAACUAGGCAAAAUGGUACCGUAACUUCGGGAGAAGGUACGCCGCUGAUGGUGAUGGGACUUGCUCCCUAAGCUGUUGGCGGCCGAAGAUACCAGGUGGCUGCGACUGUUUAUUAAAAACACAGCACUGUGCAAACACGAAAGUGGACGUAUACGGUGUGACGCCUGCCCGGUGCCGGAAGGUUAAUUGAUGGGGUUAGCUUCGGCGAAGCUCUUGAUCGAAGCCCCGGUAAACGGCGGCCGUAACUAUAACGGUCCUAAGGUAGCGAAAUUCCUUGUCGGGUAAGUUCCGACCUGCACGAAUGGCGUAACGACGGCCACACUGUCUCCACCCGAGACUCAGUGAAAUUGAAAUCGCUGUUAAGAUGCAGUGUAUCCGCGGCUAGACGGAAAGACCCCGUGAACCUUUACUAUAGCUUCACAGUGAACUUUGAACCUAUUUGUGUAGGAUAGGUGGGAGGCUUUGAAACUGGGACGCUAGUCUCAGUGGAGCCAAACUUGAAAUACCACCCUGGUAUGUUUGAGGUUCUAACUCAGGUCCGUAAUCCGGAUCGAGGACACUGUGUGGUGGGUAGUUUGACUGGGGCGGUCUCCUCCCAAAGAGUAACGGAGGAGCACGAAGGUGCGCUAAGCAUGGUCGGAAAUCAUGCGGUUAGUGUAAUGGCAUAAGCGUGCUUGACUGCGAGUCUGACAAGACGAGCAGGUACGAAAGUAGGUCAUAGUGAUCCGGUGGUUCUGAAUGGAAGGGCCAUCGCUCAACGGAUAAAAGGUACUCCGGGGAUAACAGGCUGAUACCGCCCAAGAGUUCACAUCGACGGCGGUGUUUGGCACCUCGAUGUCGGCUCAUCACAUCCUGGGGCUGAAGCCAGUCCCAAGGGUAUGGCUGUUCGCCAUUUAAAGUGGUACGCGAGCUGGGUUUAGAACGUCGUGAGACAGUUCGGUCCCUAUCUACCGUGGGCGUUGGAGACUUGAGGGAAGCUGUUCUUAGUACGAGAGGACCGGAAUGGACACACCUCUGGUGUUUCGGUUGUCACGCCAGUGGCAUUGCCGAGUAGCUAUGUGUGGAAAGGAUAACCGCUGAAAGCAUCUAAGCGGGAAGCCCCUCCCAAGACUAGUUCUCCCUGGGAAUUUAAUUCCCCUGAAGGGCCGUAGAAGACUACUACGUUGAUAGGCUGGGUGUGUAAGCGCUGUGAGGCGUUGAGCUAACCAGUACUAAUUGCCCGUGAGGCUUGACC